GAUUAAGUAGGUAAGGGCGCAUGGUGGAUGCCUCGGCAUGGGCAGGCGAUGAAGGGCGUGGCAAGCUGCGAUAAGCCGCGGGGAGCCGCAAGCAGGCUGUGAUCCGCGGAUUCCCGAAUGGGGCAACCCGGCCGGUCGAAGACCGGUCAUCCACGGGCUGAAUCCAUAGGCCCGUGGAGGCGAACCCGGGGAACUGAAACAUCUCAGUACCCGGAGGAAAAGAAAGCAACCGCGAUUCCCUGAGUAGUGGCGAGCGAAAGGGGAACAGCCCAAACCGGCGUCGUUUCGGCGGCGCCGGGGUUGUAGGGCCCGCCAUAUGGGAUCGGAAGGUGAAGUCGAAGCGUGCUGGAAAGCCGCGCCAUAGAGGGUGAUAGCCCCGUAGGCGUAAGCCGACCGAUCUCGGCGGUGUCCCUGAGUACCACGGGACCGGGGAAAUCCUGUGGGAAGCUGCCAGCACCAUCUGGCAAGGCUAAAUACUCGCCCAUGACCGAUAGCGCACUAGUACCGUGAGGGAAAGGUGAAAAGAACGCCUAGUAGGCGAGUGAAAAGGACCUGAAACCAUGCGCCUACAACCAGUCGGAGCCUCUUGCCGGACUUCGCUCCGGCAAUGGGGUGACGGCGUGCCUUUUGCAGAAUGAGCCUACGAGUUGCUCCUCUCUGGCAAGGCUAAGUGCCUCAGGCACGGAGCCGCAGCGAAAGCGAGUCCGAACAGGGCGACAGAGUCAGAGGGGGCAGACGCGAAACCGGGUGAGCUACCCUUGGCCAGGUUGAAGCGUGGGUAAGACCACGUGGAGGACCGAACCGGUUGGCGUUGAAAAGCCAUCGGAUGAGCUGAGGGUAGGGGUGAAAGGCCAACCAAACCCGGAGAUAGCUCGUACUCCCCGAAAUGCAUAGAGGUGCAGCGUCGCAGCCGAGUGUGCGGGAGGUAGAGCACUGGUUGGGCUAGGGCCCUUCACCGGGUACCAAACCCAGUCAAACUCCGAAUGCCCGCACAUGCUCUGCGGCAGUGAGGGCAUGGGCGAUAAGGUCCAUGUCCGAGAGGGGGACAACCCAGACCGACAGCUAAGGCCCCCAAGUCCAGGCUAAGUUGGGCAAAGGAGGUCGGGCUGCUAAGACAACCAGGAGGUUGGCUUAGAAGCAGCCAUUCCUUUAAAGAGUGCGUAACAGCUCACUGGUCGAGCGGCCCGGCGCCGAAAAUUGUCGGGCAUCAAGCCUGGCGCCGAAGCUUCGGGUUUGCAGCCUUCAGGCUGCAAGCGGUAGGGGAGCAUUCCAGCUGCGCAGAAGUCGCCUCGUGAGGGGCGGUGGAGCGGCUGGAAAAGAAAAUGUAGGCAUGAGUAACGAGAAGACGGGUGAAAAACCCGUCCGCCGUAAGCCCAAGGGUUCCUGCUCAACGCUAAUCGGAGCAGGGUUAGCCGGGUCCUAAGCCGAGGCCGAAAGGCGUAGGCGAUGGGAAACGGGUUAAUAUUCCCGUGCCACCCGAAGGCGCUAACCUGAGGCGUGACGCAGGAGCGUAAGGCCCGCGCCCUGACGGAAUAGGGCGUUGAAGCCCGUAGGCUGGGUGGUAGGCAAAUCCGCCACCCGCUAAGGCCGAAAGGCGACAGUAGGGGGACCCGCAAGGGAAACCCAUAGAGGCCCCAAGCACACUGCCAAGAAAAGCGUCGCAGGUUGUCUUCGGGUGCCCGUACCGGAAACCGACACAGGUGGGCGAGGCGAGUAUCCUCAGGCGCUCGAGUGAUCCGUGGCUAAGGAACUCGGCAAAUUGGCCCCGUAACUUCGGGAGAAGGGGCGCCUCCUCCCAUCCAAAAGCGGGAGGGGGCCGCAGUGACCAGGCCCAGGCGACUGUUUAACAAAAACACAGCUCUCUGCGAACUCGUAAGAGGACGUAUAGGGAGUGACACCUGCCCGGUGCCGGAAGGUUAAGGAAGGGGGUUAUCUCGGCCUCGCGCCGGGAGAAGCUCCCGACCGAAGCCCCGGUAAACGGCGGCCGUAACUAUAACGGUAGGACUGGAUCGAAGCCGAUCCAGAAGGGCCGUUGUAAAAUUCGGCUAUAUGCUGGGACAGCUCGGGUAUCCCAGGGUACCGAGAAGGUAAAAAUCCUAUGGGUGGAGCCAACCAGCAGGAAAGACUUUCGGGGACCGAAGCCGAACGGUGGUUCCUUGCAGGGCUCAUCGAAGGGGAAGGCUCCCUCUGCGCAUCGAUCAAAUACCAUCCCACGGCCCGCUAUGGCGUGGUGGUAGAUCCGGAAUUCUUCAUCUACCAGCACGUGACGGGACGUAGCCUGCUGGAACGUGCCCGGCGCAUCUUCGGGACAGGUCGGAUCUAUCCCAAGCCGGGCAAUCCCAAGGUGCUGGUCUUCUGCAUCGAUGCGCGACGUAGCCUGCGUGAACGCGUGCUACCCUUCCUCUUCCGCUAUGUCUAUCCGUUCUCGGCAAAAAAGCAGCAGAUUACCUGCUUUGCCGAGAUCGUAGAGGCCCUGGAACGCAAGGAACACCACACCCCUGAAGGCCUGGCGCGUAUCGUCGAGCAGGCAUACGCGCUGAGUGCAGGCAGUAAGGGGAAGGAGCGAAAACGACCGCUCCAGGAGGUCCUCGAAAGAAUCCUCAGAGGCCAUACGCCGAACAUCGCUCCGCCUUCCUCACCGGAGCGAUGAAGAUAUGGUCCAGCCCUCGUGGCGACACGGGGAGAGGCUGCCUAAGGUAGCAUCCGCUGCCUGCCCACAGGGUGACCUGUGGGGCAAGCCCGGCUGUAUGCGGGAACGCCCUGAGAGCCACUUCUACGUCUCCCGCCAAAGGGCGGGCGUAAAAAUGAAGUGGAUUGGGUAACCCGCAGGAAACCCCGCCGCAAGCGGGGGAUCCUCAGAGGCCAUACGCCGGGUAUCCAGUACCAGUCGGGCCUGAAAUUAAACCAAACCUGUACUUUCAUGCAGCUCACUGCCGAUUGGGUGGUCGGCUUUGUCGACGGCGAAGGUUGUUUUCACGUCGGCCUUGUCGAACAUCCGGAUAUGAGCACCGGCUAUCAGGUGCUUCCGGAGUUCAUGGUGGUCCAGCAUGAGCGCGACAUCCAGGUGCUGUAUGCGCUCAAGCGGUUCUUCGGCUUCGGGGUGGUUCGGAAAAAUCACGCAGAUCGCUAUGCCUACCGGGUACGUAAACUGGAGCAUCUGGAGCGACUCUGCGAGUUCUUUCUGAAACACCCACUGAAGACGCGUAAGAACGUGGACUUCCGGAAAUUCCGACGCGUUGUGCUGAUGAUGAAAGAAGGACGCCACCUGACGCGGGAAGGUCUGGCCGAAAUCAUCGAUCUUGCCAGUUCGAUGAACACCGGCGACCGACCGCGUCUGGAAGCGAUCAAGGCCCAGCUGGCUGCUGGAUAAAGAGAUGGUCCACCCCCGCUGGAAACAGUGGGAUCAGGGUGAGCGAAAUUCCUUGUCGGGUAAGUUCCGACCUGCACGAAUGGUGUAACGACCUGGGCACUGUCUCGGCCACGGGCUCGGUGAAAUUGUGGUGCCAGUGAAGACGCUGGCUACCCGCCGCGGGACGAGAAGACCCCGUGCACCUUUACUGCAGCCUGGCAUUGACGCCGGCCAGGGCGUGUGCAGGAUAGGCGGGAGGCUACGAAGCCGGGGCGCCAGCUCCGGUGGAGCCGCCCUUGAGAUACCGCCCUCGCUCUGGCUGGCGCCUAACCCACGGCCGUUAUCCGGUCGGGGGACAGUGUCAGGUGGGUGGUUUGACUGGGGCGGUCGCCUCCUAAAGCGUAACGGAGGCUCCCAAAGGUCCCCUCAGCACGGUCGGUAAUCGUGCGUAGAGUGCAAGGGCACAAGGGGGCUUGACUGCGAGACUCACAAGUCGAGCAGGGGCGAAAGCCGGGCCUAGUGAUCCGGCGGUUCCGAAUGGAAGGGCCGUCGCUCAAAGGAUAAAAGGUACGCCGGGGAUAACAGGCUGAUCGGGGCCAAGAGUUCACAUCGACGCCCCGGUUUGGCACCUCGAUGUCGGCUCAUCGCAUCCUGGGGCUGGAGAAGGUCCCAAGGGUUGGGCUGUUCGCCCAUUAAAGCGGUACGUGAGCUGGGUUCAGAACGUCGUGAGACAGUUCGGUCUCUAUCUGCGGCGGGCGCAGGAGGCUUGAGCGGAGCUGCCCCUAGUACGAGAGGACCGGGGUGGACGGACCUCUAGUGUACCAGUUGUGCCGCCAGGUGCACCGCUGGGUAGCUAUGUCCGGAAGGGAUAAGCGCUGAAAGCAUCUAAGCGCGAAGCCCACCGCAAGAUGAGGCCUCCCCUGCGGGCCGUCCGAGACCAGGACGUCGAUAGGCGGCAGGUGUAAGCGGGGUAACCCGUUGAGCCGAGCCGUACUAAUCGCCCGCGUGACUUAAUCCCUACC
rnacentral:rRNA from 1 species